UACGGGGGGAGCAAGCGUUGUUCGGAUUUACUGGGCGUAAAGGGCGCGUAGGCGGCCAGCACAAGUCAGUUGUGAAAUCUCCGGGCUUAACUCGGAAAGGUCAACUGAUACUGCGGGGCUAGAGUGCGGAAGGGGCAACUGGAAUUCUCGGUGUAGCGGUGAAAUGCGUAGAUAUCGAGAGGAACACCUGCGGCGAAGGCGGGUUGCUGGGCCGACACUGACGCUGAUGCGCGAAAGCCAGGGGAGCGAACGGG
rnacentral:rRNA from 1 species